rnacentral:rRNA from 1 species
CUUGGUCAUUUAGAGGAAGUAAAAGUCGUAACAAGGUUUCCGUAGGUGAACCUGCGGAAGGAUCAUUAGUGAAUUAUAGGGCGUCUACUUGUAGAGCCUGACCUCCACUUCUAACACUGUGCACUUGAUGGCGAGGUAAUGGAACUUUCGAGUGAAACUACCUUGCGGCUUCAUUUUAAACAUUAGUCAAAGUAUGUAAUGAAAUAAAAAACAAAAAAAAACUUUCAACAACGGAUCUCUUGGCUCUCGCAUCGAUGAAGAACGCAGCGAAAUGUGAUAAGUAAUGUGAAUUGCAGAAUUCAGUGAAUCAUCGAAUCUUUGAACGCACCUUGCGCUCCCUGGUAUUCCGGGGAGCAUGCCUGUUCGAGCGUCAUUAUCAACCAUCAAGCCCUGCUUGGCAUUGGGUGCCGUCCCUGCUGUGGACGCGCCCUAAAGUAAUCGGCGGUGGUGUUGAACCUCAAGCGUAGUAAAUCUCCAGCUUUCUAGGUGAGACGCCGCUCGGCCUCGAGAACCCAUCACCUCAAGGUUGACCUCGGAUCAGGUAGGGAUACCCGCUGAACUUAAGCAUAUCAAUAAGCGGAGGA